rnacentral:rRNA from 1 species
AGAGUUUGAUCCUGGCUCAGAGUGAACGCUGGCGGCGUGGAUUAGGCAUGCAAGUCGAGCGAUCUUUUGGGAGGCAGAGGUUGAAGCCGUAAGGCAGAUGCCAAUGUGCCUGAUUGAUAGCGGCAGACUGGUGAGUAACACGUGAGUAAUCUACCCUUAAGUUAGGGAAAGUCUCGCGAAAGCGGGAAUAAUCCCUGAUGUGUCCGUGACAGCUUAAGUUGUUACGGGUAAAGGCGGGGAACCGCAAGGUCCUGUCGCUUAAGGAUGAGCUCGCGUCCUAUCAGCUAGUUGGUAGGGUAAUGGCCUACCAAGGCUUUUGACGGGUAGCUGGCCUUAGAGGGUGGUCAGCCACACGGGGACUGAGACACUGCCCCGACUCCUACGGGAGGCUGCAGUCGAGGAUAUUUAGCAAUGGACGAAAGUCUGACUAUGCGACGCCGCGUGAGGGAUGAAGGUUUUCGGAUCGUAAACCUCUUUCGAUCGGGAAGAAAAUCCACAGGGUAAUACCCUGUGGCCUGACGGUACCGAGAGAAGAAGCCACGGCCAACUCCGUGCCAGCAGCCGCGGUAAUACGGGGGUGGCGAGCGUUACUCGGAUUUAUUGGGUGUAAAGGGCAGGUAGGCGGCUUGACAAGUGGGAGGUGAAAUACCUCGACUCAAUCGAGGAACUGCCUUCCAAACUAUCAAGCUUGAGUCCAGAAGAGGAGAAUGGAAUUCCCGGUGUAAGGGUGAAAUCUGUAGAUAUCGGGAGGAACACCAGAGGCGAAGGCGAUUCUCUGGUCUGGUUCUGACGCUGAACUGCGAAAGCUAGGGGAGCAAACAGGAUUAGAUACCCUGGUAGUCCUAGCCGUAAACGAUGAGCACUAGGUGUUAGCCCUUUUGGGUUAGCGCCGUAAGAUAACUCGUUAAGUGCUCCACCUGGGGACUACGACCGCAAGGUUAAAACUCAAAGGAAUUGACGGGGGCCUGCACAAGCGGUGGAACAUGUGGUUUAAUUCGACGAUACGCGAAGAACCUCACCAAGGCUUGACAUGUAGGAAGUAUGAACCUGAGAGGGGGAAGACCUGUCAAAUCAGGAGCCUACACAGGUGCUACAUAGCUGUCGUCAGCUCGUGUCGUGAGAUGUUGGGUUAAGUCCCUCAACGAGCGCAACCUCUAUCCUUAGUUGCAACUUUAUGGCCAGCGUAAGCUGGUUAUGGAGGCACUUUAAGGAGACUGCCCCGGAUAACGGGGAGGAAGGCGGAGAUGACGUCAAGUCCGUAUGGCCUUUAUGCCUUGGGCUACACACGUGUUACAAUGCCCACUACAAAGCGUCGCCAACCCGCGAGGGGGGGCCAAUCGCAGAAAAGUGGGCCCAGUUCAGAUUGGAGUCUGCAAUUCGACUCCAUGAAGACGGAAUCGCUAGUAAUGGCGGAUCAGCUACGCCGCCGUGAAUACGUUCCCAGGCCUUGUACACACCGCCCGUCAAGCGAUGGGAGCUGGAUUUACCCGAAGUCUUACGCAAGUAGGCCUAAGGUAAUACUGGUGACUGGCGCUAAGUCGGAACAAGGUA